rnacentral:pre_miRNA from 1 species
UCUCAUGGAUGAGCAAAGAAAAUGGCUUCUUGAGAUGGAAUCUACUCUUGGUGAAGAUUCUGUGAA